UGGGGAAUAUUGGACAAUGGGCGCAAGCCUGAUCCAGCAAUGCCGCGUGAGUGAUGAAGGCCUUCGGGUUGUAAAGCUCUUUCGCCCGCGACGAUGAUGACGGUAGCGGGAGAAGAAGCCCCGGCUAACUUCGUGCCAGCAGCCGCGGUAAUACGAAGGGGGCGAGCGUUGUUCGGAUUUACUGGGCGUAAAGGGCGCGUAGGCGGCCCUCCUUGUCGCGUGUGAAAGCCCCGGGCUCAACCUGGGAAUGGCGCGCGAGACGGGGGGGCUGGAGUUCGGGAGAGGAGCGUGGAAUUCCCAGUGUAGAGGUGAAAUUCGUAGAUAUUGGGAAGAACACCGGUGGCGAAGGCGGCGCUCUGGACCGAGACUGACGCUGAGGCGCGAAAGCGUGGGGAGCAAACAGG
rnacentral:rRNA from 1 species